CGGCGAGUAGCGCAGCUUGGUAGCGCAACUGGUUUGGGACCAGUGGGUCGGAGGUUCGAAUCCUUUCUCGCCGACCA
rnacentral:tRNA from 1 species